AAGAGCCCGGACCAUGAUCCGAGACACGCACCAGGCCCUCCGGGUGCAACAGACGCGAACAGUUCCAAUGCGGGCACCCGUGAGAAGGAAUCUAGAGUGCCCGGAUAUCAGCUGGCCGUCCCAGAUGCCUACAAAGCAUCUGUUAGCCAGGGCCGGGCAAGACCGAUGCCAGCCGCCGCCGGUAACACCGACGGCCCGAGUGGUAACCGCUAUUAUUGGGUCUAAAGGGUCCGUAGCCGGCCAGGUAAGUCCCUUGGGAAAUCUGGCAGCUCAACUGUCAGGCUGCUAGGGGAUACUGUUUGGCUUGGGACCGGGAGAGCUGAGAGGUACCUUGGGGGUAGGGGUGAAAUCUUGUGAUCCUCGGGGGACCACCAGUGGCGAAGGCGUCUCACCAGAACGGGUCCGACGGUAAGGGACGAAAGCUAGGGGCACGAACCGGAUUAGAUACCCGGGUAGUCCUAGCCGUAAACGAUGCUCGCUAGGUGUCAGUCACGGUGCGACCGUGAUUGGUGCCGUAGGGAAGCCGUGAAGCGAGCCACCUGGG
rnacentral:rRNA from 1 species